rnacentral:rRNA from 1 species
UACGUAGGUGGCAAGCGUUAUCCGGAUUUAUUGGGCGUAAAGGGAACGCAGGCGGUCUUUUAAGUCUGAUGUGAAAGCCUUCGGCUUAACCGGAGUAGUGCAUUGGAAACUGGGAGACUUGAGUGCAGAAGAGGAGAGUGUAACUCCAUGUGUAGCGGUGAAAUGCGUAGAUAUAUGGAAGAACACCAGUGGCGAAAGCGGCUCUCUGGUCUGUAACUGACGCUGAGGUUCGAAAGCGUGGGUAGCAAACAGG